AACGAACGCUGGCGGCAUGCCUAACACAUGCAAGUCGAACGAGACCUUCGGGUCUAGUGGCGCACGGGUGCGUAACGCGUGGGAACCUGCCUUUAGGUUCGGAAUAACUCAGAGAAAUUUGAGCUAAUACCGGAUGAUGUCUUCGGACCAAAGAUUUAUCGCCUUUAGAUGGGCCCGCGUUGGAUUAGCUAGUUGGUGGGGUAAAGGCCUACCAAGGCGACGAUCCAUAGCUGGUCUGAGAGGAUGAUCAGCCCCACUGGGACUGAGACACGGCCCAGACUCCUACGGGAGGCAGCAGUGGGGAAUAUUGGACAAUGGGCGAAAGCCUGAUCCAGCAAUGCCGCGUGAGUGAUGAAGGCCUUAGGGUUGUAAAGCUCUUUUACCCGAGAUGAUAAUGACAGUAUCGGGAGAAUAAGCUCCGGCUAACUCCGUG
rnacentral:rRNA from 1 species